rnacentral:tRNA from 1 species
ACUUAAAUAGUUUAAUAAAAAAUUUUAAUUUGUGGAAUUAAGGAUAUAAAUAAUUAUUUUAAGUU